ACUCUCCAGGAUUGUUGUCUCUCUGAGGCAAUCACCAUGAAGACUCUUGUCUCAUUGAGUGCCCGGUCCACAGACUUCAGUCCUUACAAAUUGCCUUUGAUGCGGGUGAACUUUAAACAAAAGUCACCGCAAAGUAAACGUACCAUCAGCAGAAAGACUUUAUGUAGCCGGCGGUACACCUGAUGGUGCAAGUGAGAAGAAUCCGUGGGAGAAUUUAUGUGGAUGUACAGUCGCGGGAAUCCUGUACAAGUUUCCCAAAGCUAUUUGGCACAGAUGUUUUCACGCCGCUAACGAAAAGCAAAAUGUUCAUCCGACCAUCUUCCAAGUUUGGAUCUUUCCAAAGAGAUGAUUUUGACUCCAUACCAGAUGGAUUUGAGGAACAAAACAUCUAGCGUGCCAAAUGAAAUCAUUCAGAUUCACACUUCGUCCUAAUAUCCUCAUUCCUUGUUGUGUUGUGAGAAAUCAUAAACUGUCGUGGUCCUGCCGGUCCGAGCCCUGGCGGUGCAGUUCCCCUACACACCUGCGUUGACGAGGAGGACUCAUCUGCGAUAACGAACCCCAGUACUUAUAGGACCCAGCGGUCGGUCUGGCUUUGCCAGGUCGCUGCCAUCCAUGCCUCGUUCCAGCACUUCCUUGCUUCUGAUCCCGAAUCCCGGCGUAUCGACCUCCGCCUGUCCUCCGACCAACCCAGCUAAGUGUACGACCAACGCAGUACUGCACCAAGUGUUGAUGACAGUGUCAUAAAGCGACGUAAAGAUGCGUUGGGACCUACAACUUCCACGACGAUGAAUAAAGUUCUCCCGAGAACACAGUUACUGUUUGCGGAUUAUUGGAGCUCUGUUAAAGGUUGGCUGCCUCUCCUCUCCUCUCAACGUGUCACUCAGCCCUUUGUGUGCAAAUCCCACGUCUUACUCCCCCGGAGUGAAAUAUUCAAUUUAGAUGCCAUUUGUUUCACAGUCAGCAAUACGGGACACGUGAGCACCGUCCUUUUGAUUUUUUUUUUUUUAAAUAUAUAUAUAUACACCGGCGUUACGAUCAGCAAAUGCACUCAUCACCCUUCACCCGGACGAGCGUCCAUUCGCUUUUCACAUUUAUGGUACUCGCUGGAUUUCCGCAGAAAUAAUGCAUGUGUAAUAUACAUUAAAAUGAAUUCUGCUCA